rnacentral:lncRNA from 1 species
UUUGCAGGAACCUGUCAUGAUGGCUAUUACUGUGAUAUGAAAUCCACACGGCCAGACCAGAAACGCUGUCCACCUGGCUCAUACUGCCCCAAAGGCACGGAGUCCCCAAUUCCAUGUGCUGCUGGAAGCCUCAACCCACACGAUAGGAAAUGGCACUCAACAGACUGUCAGCCCUGCCCGGCUGGAUAUUUCUGCAGUGGGCUAGGAAAAACUGCUGCAGAGGGACUGUGCUCUGCUGGUUACUACUGCCCACCAGGCCAGACCUCAGCCACUCCUCUCUCCCAUCGCUGCCCCCGUGGGUUCUACUGCCCUGCAGGAUCUGCCAUUCCCAUGGCCUGUGAGAGGGGGACCUACCAGACACAGGAAGGGAAAGAAUCAUGCUACAUCUGCCCAGCAGGAUUCUUCUGUGAACCAUCCAGCAAAAGUUCUGGGACACAGACUCCCAGGCUGUGCCCUACAGGAUACUUCUGUCCACCUGGUACCAGCUUUGGUACAGAACAUCCAUGUCCAAGGGGUACAUUUGGACCCAAGACUGGUGCCACUGGUGAAUCUCACUGUGAGCCCUGCCCAGCAGGCACAUAUUGCUCAUCUACAGCACUGUCCCAGCCAUCGGGGCUUUGCCACUCAGGGUAUUACUGCACCCAGGGAGCCAUCCACCCAGCCCCCAUCAGACACAAGGCGGAAUCUGCUGGCCUACCUCUGCCUGGAAAUGAUAUCUGCCCUCCUGGGCAUUUCUGCCCCAGUGGCACAAGCCAUCCUGUGCCCUGCCCUCCUGGAACCUAUUCCACCUCCCUGGGCCUGGGAGCAGAGGAGCAGUGCCAGCCCUGCCCAGCGGGACAGUACUGUAGUCAGGCAGGAUUGUCUGAUCUGUCCCAGACAUCGCCGUGUAGUGCAGGGUGUGGCAGUGUGGUCAUUCUCCUUUUUGUAUUGACAAACUGA